GUGUCCUUAGUACAGUGGUUAGCACACUUGACAUGCUCAUAAGAGAUGUGGGUUUGAUUCCCACAGGACCCA
rfam:Puccinia sorghi strain RO10H11247 Scaffold_319, whole genome shotgun sequence.